CAGUCGCCGCGGUGAUACGAAGGGGGCUAGCGUUGUUCGGAAUUACUGGGCGUAAAGCGCACGUAGGCGGAUAUUUAAGUCAAGGGUGAAAUCCCAGAGCUCAACUCUGGAACUGCCUUUGAUACUGGGUAUCUUGAGUAUGGAAGAGGUAAGUGGAAUUGCGAGUGUAGAGGUGAAAUUCGUAGAUAUUCGCAGGAACACCAGUGGCGAAGGCGGCUUACUGGUCCAUUACUGACGCUGAGGUGCGAAAGCGUGGGGAGCAAACAGGAUUAGAUACCCCAGUAGUCCCUGUCUCUUAUAA
rnacentral:rRNA from 1 species